UCCGUGUGCUCUUGCCUGCGCUUUUCCUUCUCUAAUCAGCUGUGCGGUUUCUCCGAUGAUGGUUACUUCCGCUGCUGCUCGGUCCGGCUGCCGUCGUCGGGGCCGCUCUCCUGGUAUUCGAGCCGCUGUUAUUGCCCGUGUCCGCCGUGCUGCUGGCCGUCUUUCUUCGCCGGAUUUUCCGUCGCCGGCAAACGCUGGUGCGCGUGGCCGGCUGGCUGAUUCGGGAUGCCGUGUCCGGUCCGGGGCUCACCGGCCGUUUCGUUCUUCCCGGACUGGUGUGCACCGAUUAGAUUCGCGGCGAGAUGUUAAUGUGGACGUUAAUAGUCGCCGUCGGGAGAUAUCAUUAGGGAAGCGGCCUGUGGAUUGUACCAUUGACACUUCGCCUGUCGAAGUGGUUGACGGAUCGAGUAUUUGUGUUUCUGGUUUUCCUGCUGGGGUUCAUCUUUAUGGCUCUUUGGUUGGUGCUACGACUUUCCGUUGCCGUCCAAGAGUGGUGCCCUUAUGUGCCGCCGGUACCUUUGGUCGGCCUACUUCUCUUGAGCACUCUCGUGUUGUGUGUGCUCGCCGUAAGCGGACUUUGGUGUGAUCGUACUGGUCGGGCCGGAAAAGAGUACGUGGGAUGCAACCUCCGUUUUCUAAAGAUUACAUCCAACUGCUUAAGGCUACUUUUAGGGGGCGUUCGUAUUAUGGUGGACCGGAUUUGCUGCCGGAAAUGUGGGGCUUUUUUUAUCCUGAAAUUGUCGCCGCCCUGAUAAAUAUGCCAAAUACACAUCACCGUUUGGUGGACACGUUCAGAAUUGCUCGAUAGAGUCUGCACCCCUGGUGUUUCUAAGGUGUCCAUUCGUUUUUUUGGUGAUGGCGGUGGUGCUCAUGGUACGCGUUUUUCUGGUCCUACUGCUUCUGAGGUUGCCACGCUCAUUGUUGGUGACUUGACGCCUGAAUGUAGAAAUUUUGAUGUGGUUGCAGAAACACGUCCUGGUUCAUUGAAGCAUGUAUCUUCACUGAAUUGCAAUCUUAUUGCUUUGCAAUAUCCUAUACUAUUUCCAUAUUGUGAUAAGAGUUAUCAUCGUGGUAUUAGAUAUGUUGAUGGUAAUGAACAUUUGAUUGUUUCCCAAUGCAACUGUGUUAGCUGUGGACACUUGGAUAGCGACAAUGUUGACCGUGAUUUGGAGGAUGGGGAUGUCACCCGUGGUCAAAUUACUAUGUUGGAGUACUACAAAUACUAUGCUCACUAUCGUGAAGGUGAAAUUAAUCCUUAUACAAGUUGCAGUUGUUUGAGCUAGCAGAUUGCCGUUAAUGCAUAUUCUUGUGUAGAGGCUGAUCGGUUGGAGUACCAUUUCCAUAAACAAGAUAAACUUCAUUCUGAAUCUUAUCGGGGCAUAUCUGAUGCAAUGGGUGUACAAUAAUAAGUGUUCUUGCAUGAAGAAUGAUUGUUGUUCCAAGUGCUUUCCAAAGCCAUUUAGUGAUGAUACAAUGGUUGAUCGUGUUGGCUA